rnacentral:rRNA from 1 species
CCGCGGUAUUUUGACUGUGCAAGGUAGCAUAAUCAUUAGUCUUUUAAUUGGGGGCUGGAAUGAAGGGUUUGACGGAGAUUAGCUUUUUAUUUUAUAUUUUUUGAAUUUAAAUUUAAUGUGAAGAUGCAUUAAUGGUUUUAUGUGACGAGAAGACCCCAUAAAGCUUUAUGUAGGUUGAUUGGCUUGUUUUAGUUAUUUUAUAUUUUAUUGGGGCAAUGUGUGUGAUUUUUUAUUAGUUUUUUUAUUGUAUUUUUUUGUAGUCUUUUUGUGAUCCGUGUUUUAAGUGAGCGAGAGUAAGAUAAGUUACUUUGGGGAUAACAGCGUAAUUAUAUUGGAGAGUACUUAUUGAUAAUUUAGUUUGCGACCUCGAUGUUGAAUUAGGGUAUCUUGUAGUUGUAGAAGGCUAUUAAGAGGGUCUGUUCGACCUUGAAAUUCCUACG